GAGACUACAACGGCUGGAAGAGAAGGGACAACGUCUUAAAACAGAGGGACGUUGGCGCUGGUGCCUGGAUUGAUCUCAAGUGACCAGGGGACACUAGCUUUCCAUCUGAAGGCAGUGCUGGGAGUCCUUGAGCGUGCGGUUGCUGGUGAGGAAGGAGCCACUGCCCUCAACCUCUUGAAUGGAGAAGACAGACAGAAGUCCAGCCCAAACCCAUCUCUUGCCCUCAGAAAUGUCCCCAAGGCCUUGCCCUCCAUUCUUAGAGCAUGUCUCGGAGUGUGGGCACUAAGUGCCUUGGAAGUGGACUGGCCAGUCACCCAAGAGGACAGCUGCCAGCCCCUGUCGUCCGCCUCAGACCAGAUCCUUUUGCUUUCACUCUGGUCCUGGCACACUCACAGCAGCCAGCUCUGCAGGUUUUAGGUCCCAGGAAGACAUUCUCUCUAGGCUUUGGGGUCACGUGCAGACCCUGCUGAUGUCCCACAGGCAUGCUGAUCCCUCCAGCAUCCCUCCAGACAAGUCCCAAGGAGGAGGGGACUUGUCUUAUCAACAGGUGGGGAUGGAGCUGAGCGUCACCUGCACCUCCAAGCCAGGCGCCUUUGGCCCAUUCUUUGUCAAUUUCCUAUGACACCCUCUGACACUUCAGUGGCUUUAUUACAUUUGCACACUCCUUUGUCAAUUUUCUUAAACUUAUGUGGCCAUCAACGUGUCUUAUGGUCCUUAUUUCCUGAGGGCAUGGGUGCUGGGUGUCGGGCUGCAAGGAGCACGAAUGUUCUCACAGCCAUCAGGCAAGGAGGAGCCUCCUGGGGCCCAGGGUGGCCACCAAGGGGCAGUUCGAAGGGCAGGGAAUGUUGGAGCACAGGUUCCUGGGAUAGAUGUGACUAUGGGGCAGUUGGCCAGAUGGUGGUGCAUACCCCCAGAGAAGCCCCAGGCCACUGUGGCCCAAUUCCAGCCCUCCAGCCACUUCUCUUUCCCCACAUCUCUGGCUUGUGACUCUAAUUCACUUUCGCUCAUCUUUUACCAGAACACAUUCCUCAUUCUCCACAUUCCUGAGUCUCCCCUUAUGUGUCCCUCCUGACACCUCCUGCUUUAUUUUACAUGGGCUGUCAAGUGGGUCUUGAUUUCCCCAAAAUGGCCAAAGAUUCAUUGACAAUCGGUGCUCGACACAGAAAUGUAAAUUCCCUUCCCUGAAGGGAUGUCCACACUUACUGGGGCAGAGGAUCGAUGUGUGUGAAAUAAUGAGAUAAAAACAUGAAAUUGUCUGGAUGCCAAACUGUAAAAGUCAGGGAGAGCUGGGCGUCGGUGCAGGCUUGAAUGUGGAGGGAGGGCUUCCUGGAGGAGGUGAGGUGGUGCUGGGGUUUGAGGCAGGGGCAGGAUGGCCUCGGCAGAGGGCAAUGUGGAUGGGGUGGGCCCGGGAGGAACAAAGCCCCACAGGGAGAGCAGAACCUAUUGUCUCCUCUCGCCUUUGUCCUCUCCUCCAGGAAGCAAUCUGCCUGAUUCCUUCUUGCUCUCUGUGAGUUUCAUGUCAUAGGUCUCUGCUCUUUCUGUGUCUUCCUAUUUCCCGGAAAUGGAUGUUCUUGUUCUAGUCUAGAUCCUGGUCUGGACAUGACUGACUGAGUCCCCUCCGAGCUUGGCGGACAUCCAGACUGAUGGUGACCCCAGAUCAGUGGGGGCCUGCAGGAGGGGGCGGAGGUCCCAGGACGAUGCAGCCUGCAUGAUACAACGCAGAAGGAAUUUUCCUCGGCGGCGCCAGGGACGCCAGAGUCACCAUUCCUUUCUCCUCAGCUUCCUUGCUGUAGAGGAGCAGGCCUCUUGCGUGUCUCUUCGGUCUGAGUCACCCUGGGCCCCCUCUGCUGUCCUCGCCAUUGUAGUGCAGCUGGGCUGCUGGCUCCAUUGGAUCUGCCUGGGCCCAGAGCCCUUCCCACGCCCUCUUGCAUUAAUAGUUUCUCGGCUGUAAGUGCUGGGAGAGCAGUGUGACCUGUGACAUGUGAAAGGGAGCAGGGACCUGGCGUGGGGGCCACGGGGUGCUGCCUCCCCUCUUCCUCCGACACUAAGGCCCAGAGCAGGGUCUUAGCAUCUUUCCUGGGAUGGGUUUCAUGAGACCUUCAGAGAUGCACGGGUUGGACUCUGUCCUUGUCCUCAGAGGCUUGCAUUGUAGCUGUGUCCUGUCCUGAGCAACACCCUCUGCCCCUGUGCCGCUGCACACCACGUGGAAGGACUGUCCUGCCUCUGCCCACAUGGCUUCCUCCUUCUGCAUUUUCUGUGCCUGCUGUCUUGUCCAGAGCACCCAAAUCCUCCUUGCCCCUGUCGCUGCCACCCGCGUGGCCCUCAGAGUUCUGCUUUUGCCCUCUGCAUCCUCCUUGCUGCCUGCUUUUCCUGACCUCAGGCGGCCCGCCCUGAUUAGGAAAGGCAGCACCAGGAGACCCCCGCCACCACGAGACGACCCUCCCCUCCCACUCCGCAGUCAGUCCAACCUGCAGACUGGGCCCGCUGCGCUUGCUGUGGACACGGGGUUUUCCUGUGUCGUAGCAAUCUGGGUGGUCACCAGCAAGUCCUCUACCUCCUAGAGGCUCAGUCUCCCCCCACAGACAUUUAGGGCUGAGCAAGAUGCUUCCUGGAGAAAGAGGCCGACGUGGCCCACACACAGAAGCAGGAGCCUCUGGGCAACUCUCUGCUCCCUGAGCCUCAGUUUUUUCUCCUGCAAAGUGGGGAUAAUGAUGCCACUUCCAUCUCAGUCUCGUUAGGACUUCAAAUGAAGGUGCGAAUGGAAUGGCCGACUCUGCUAUCCAUAGAAAGUGGUCAGUAAGUUGUGGUUGACUUUAAAACAUUGUAAUUUUUUUUUUUUUUAAUGUGUCUUCUCUUUAGCCUGUUGGCUUCCUGAGUGUAGAGGCUGGAGCCCUGCACUAGACGGGAGAGGGGGUGGCCACUCAGGUCCUGUGGCGAGGAAACCCCAGAAAUGCAGCAUACGUGGCUGGGCCAGGCCCCGCUGGGGCAAGGAAGGCCACCAAGGGCUCUGAUCUGGGUCUGGCACUGGCAUGGAGGGACCCAGCUUCCUGCGGAGGACAAUGCCUGACUAGGGCAUUAUUACUGUUAAGAACUUGGAUCCAAAGCCAACCCCCCAGGAUGGCACUCCUGCUGUCCCCCGACUCCCAGGGCCUAAAGCCCCAGCUGAGAAUUAUGACACAGCCGCCUCCUCAGUCCCCUUCCUGGGAGGCCCUGCUGUGUCCCCCCAGCUGUGUCAGGAACAGGCUAUGUGAGUAAAGGCUGAUUAGGGCAGGACGAGUAACUGUUAUUCACGUUGCAACACCGCCUUGGGGGCACUGGGGGAGGGGGCUAAGACUGUGAGGGGGAGGAGAGCUGAGGUGGCAGAUAUGAGGCAGCUCAGACCCGACAAAGGGCUAGGGGUUGGGAGGGCAGGCUGGCCUGGGUGCAUUUAAUACCCCAGGGAUCAGACUUGCACUCUUUUCUGGAAUUGGCACAUGGGCUAGGGUCUGGGACAGGAGAAGGGAGGCCUGAGCCAUGCCCCCUGCAUCUCCUCUGUCUUCCCCACCUCGUGAAACCCCACAGGAAAUACCAUGGGCAGGGGAGUUGGCACAGGUGCUGGGCAGACCCACCUCCUGGCUAUGACAACAUUGGAGGUUGGUCUAGAUUGUAGCCUGUCUGUCUGAGCUCCUUGCCCCCCUCUUGAGCCAGGACGGUGUUGUACCAAAUCGAGGGAGACACCGAUUUGGGAGUAUAAAGUCUAAGGUGGUGGGGUGUGUCCCCAUCUGUGUGGAACCUCCUUAUGUAUCUAGCCCAGGCUUGCUCUCUGGGCUCACACUGCACAGGGGAGGGCUUGCUGCCCACAGUGGACAUGCCACCCAUGGUGGACACGCUGCCCAUGGUGGACAUGCCGCCCAUGGUGGACCCUGACUGUAGUGGACACACCACCAAUGAUGGACACACCACCCAUAGUGGAUGCUGCCCAUAAUGGACACACCACCAAUGGCGGACAUCUGCCCAUGUGGACACCCCGCCCACAGUGGACACACCACCCAUAGUGGACAGACAUCCUGCCCAUAGUGGACAUGCCACCCAUGGUAGACACGCCACCCAUGGGGACAUGCCACCCAUGAUGGAUGCUGCCCAUAAUGGACACACCACCAAUGGCAGACAUCUGCCCAUGUGGACACCCGCCCACAGUGGACACACCACCCAUAGUGGACAGACAUCCCAUGGUGGACACGCCACCCAUGGUGGACACGCUGCCCAUGGUGGACAUGCCACAGGCUCCUGCAGAAGAGGCCCUGAGGCCCUGACCAAGGAGGAAUUUCUGCUUCCCUCUUUCUGCUCCAACCCUCUACUGUCCUCAGCCCCUGUCCUCUCCAUGAAUGGUCAAGCUCCUGGCUGGUGGCCAGCCCUGUCUGGACAAGAGGAAACUGGGACGUGAGGAGCAGAACACUGAGUCCUCAAGAGCAGAAAUUCCACCGGAAAGGAAACAAUGAACAGGGGACAGAGUCACCCCUGAGGGAGCAAGGGGGCAAGGGCAGGGACAGGGCCUUCCUGCCCCGGGCAGGGUAAACAACUCCAGGCCGGGGAAGCCCCCACAACCCACUGUCUUCCAGGUAGGGAUGCUGCAGUCCCCAGGGCUGGAGCACUGGGCCAACCGGACGAAGUGGUACCCUAUAUCCUCUUUUGCCUUUGAAGGCAGAUGAGCUGCUGUGGGGAGAAGCAGGGUCCACGGCCAAGGCCAAGGGGAUCGGGGCAGAACUGAAGGAGCUUCUGGAGAAUGAAGCCUGAAUGUGGCUGAGGCAGGGAUGGCCACCACCUUAAUGGCCAGUCAGCUACCAGAAACCAAAUAAGAAGGCUCUAGGCUUUAGGGCAGGGGUUUCGGGAGCUGGAGCUUGCAGAGCACUCCACUGGAAGUGAAAGAGGCCAGCCCAGGGCCACCAUCUGUGGUGCCAGAGGGGAAACCUUCCUCUUUCAGGGCCCAGACCAGCUAGCUCUUAGCGGAGCAGCAAUGAGGCAAACUGCAAGGCUAGAGAAGCAGCCCGUGUCUGGAAGUUACAGAACAACUGUCCCCCAACAAGCUCCAGUGCUCCUGGGAUCCCCCUCCCUGCCUCCCACUCUGUCAGGGCUGGAGGAAAGAGGGGUGCUGAGGGGCUUCAAACUGGUGCCUGUCACGGCCACAGUCGGAUUUGCAGUUGCUCCUGUUGGUUUGUUUAGGUGCCUUGUGAUCUGCAAAUCCAGUUCUUUUCAAAGUUUGGGGGGGGGGGUGCUUGCCUUUUCUUUUGAGUUUUAGAACUUCUCUUCCCCAAACUGCUGCAGUAACCCAGAACUGAGAUGUGUGGGGCAGUUGCUGUUUGCAUGUUUUUUGUGUUUCAUUGUCCUACUACUCAAACUGGGUAUUGAUACCACCCCCAAUCUGCAGCUGAGGAAACUGACACGUCCUGCUCGAGGUCACUCAGCUCAGAGAGGGGCUGGCUCUGCAGCCCCAGCUCUUAGCCAGACCCUGCCCUGUCUCUCAGUGCCUCAGCUGCCCCUAACCCCAACCCAGAAUGGGCCCGGGGCCCUCACUGUGUGCACCCCAAGUCCCCCGUGUCACACCCAGGUCUCACUGGAUCACGCUCACUUUUGAAUUGUGGCCUACUACGCCUUAGUCCGGUGGUUUUAACCCCUGCCCAUUAGACUCACCCAAGAGUUUUAGAAAAACCCUGAGUCCCAGGCCCACCUCUGAUGAUUUGAAUCACAAUCCUGGGGUACGGGGGUUUUGUUUUUGGUUUUUGUUUAACGAGCUCUGCGGAUGCCUCUGGGAUUGAGAUCUUAGCUCAUUUGGUAAGUGGAAGGAAUUUCAGUCACCUGCUCUGCUGGGGCAGUUAUUGGAGGCCGGGAUCCUCUUAUCACAUUGGAAAGAGCCACCUGAUGGGCUGAGGAUUGGUCAUUCUUCCCCAGAGCCCAAGGCUGGGUCACGGGUGUCAGGGAGCUGCGGGAGGGGCAGAGGCCAUUUGCCCAAUGAGUUUUCUUUCCCUGCCUUUUGCACUAUUUGUGCACUUUGGACUAGACCCUAAGGAGGGUGGACGAGGGACAGGGAAACUGAGAAGCUGGUGUGGGGAUUGGAGGGUCUUUUCACCCUCAAGGCUGAAGGCCAGGACCUGCGUUAAAUGCCCUGAAGGAGUUACCAGCGAAAUGCUCAGGAGGGGCCUGCGGAGACAGACCCUGAGGAAUGAUGGUCACUAUGGUCACCGGUGAGCCCUGUGGAGAGCCUGCUUUCAACCGCCCAGGGGCACGGAAAGAUGUCAGGGCUGGAGACGUGGCUCUCGCCCCAUAGGGACUUAGGAUACUGUGUGUAGAAAGACAGGCAUUUAUUAUACAGAUAAGACUAUUCCAAGGAUAUUUAUGCCAAAGGCCUCCUGAGCAACAAAUGAUAUUGGCACCCUAGCCGAGGGGAUGUGUGAGCCUUGGGGCAGAUGAGGAGGGUCCACGGGCCUUGGUACAGAGCAGAGGAGUGUCAGGGAUGGUGGCAGUGUCUGAGGAUGUCUCAGAGGAGGAGCAGAGUGGUGCAGGAACUGGGUAGAAGGGCCUGGAAAUGAGGGCGCUACAGAGCAGGCCAGGGGAUUUGCUCCUUGUGUGGGAACCUGGAGGAGCCGCCCUGUUCCCUGCUGGAGCCCGCCCGCCUAACCCUGAUGUCUUAGUCACACCUGGGCCAGGUGCCCCCUCCCCUGCAGCUCUGGGGCGUGAUGAGGCCUCCAUUAUUCACAGCCUGGACCGACAGCUGGCUCCCUGGGGCACACUCCCAGGGUGCAGCCCAGCUGCCAGCUCACUGCCCUGCGAGGACACCCCAGACCCAGACAGGCCCUGUCCUCCUCCUGGGCCCUGCAGCCCUGGGCUGGCCAGGCUUGUGCAAGGAUGUGGCAUCUCAGGCAGUUGUGUUUCCUUGGCCUAGCUCCCUCAGAGCAGACACCAGUGGAAUUACAGGGAAACCAACACUGGGGACUGGGAAAUUUGGGAGCUCCCCCUCUCAUUCUGAGCUCCUGCCUUAGGCUAGAGCGAACAGAAGCCAUUCUGCUUUGGCUGUAUCAAGCGUCUUGUCCCUGAACCUAAUUCCCAGAGCUGGGCUCAAGGGACCUCGGUCUCAAGUCCUCAUUCUCUCAGGAAACGGUGUGCCAGGCUGCACUUGCCCUUGUCUGCCUUUGAUAGUGGCACCCUCAGGAAUACGGGGGUGGAGGCAGGAGGCCAGAGCUGAGCCCCGAUGGAAAGCCCCAGACUCGGGAACUCCCUGCUAGCAAUUCUGAGAAUCCUGAGGGGCGUGCAGGUGAGAGGUCGUGUUGUGUCUAGAACCCCGGGAUGGCUUUCCGGACUGAAUCAGGGACAUGGUCAGAGCCCUGCAGCAGGUGGAAGGCGCAGGGCUGUCCUUCCUGGCCUGGGUGGAGUCCCCACCCCCUCUCCCUGGCAGGGCUUUCCUGCUCGGUGGACCGUUAGCUCGGCGGCUGGAUGAAUGGGCGUGUGUGUGUGUGUGUGCACGUGUGUGUGAUGGGCAUUUGCCAGGGCUGUGUUGUUGCAGGGCCUCCCCAGGCGUCCCUGAGUUUCUAAACAAGCCCACGCUUCCUCUGGGCAGCUCCGUAGCAGUGGUGUGAGGGACAGGCAGUGGGGAAGGCCUCCAUAAAUGGGGGGAAAUUUUGAUUCGCCACAUCUGCCCCCAACACCAUUCCACCAUCUGAGUUUUCCCAUCCAUCCCUUGCAGUUGUGCAAGUUCACCUGCUGUCUCCUCCUUCCACUUCUCCUUCUGGGGGUCCUCUCAGCCACUCCCCCUCUGCACACACAUACCCACCCUCUGAACCUUCUACCCGCUCUGUUUUCGUAUGUAAGUCUGCUGCCCACAGGGGGUGGGGGGCAGGAUGGGGGUCCUCCCAAGGCCUGGCUGCUUAGCUCGCACCCUUUCCCCAAAGCCACCCCCAGCUGUCUCGCUUUUGAACAUGAUACUUCCUACAAAGGGCCCCACACGGGAGGACACACCGUUCAGCGCCAGCUUGUUCUAGAGCGGUAUCGCGUGUGUUCAUUUUGUUUUCCCUACCGGCCUGACAGCAGUUUAGGGGUAGGAACUGUUUGGGUCUGCACUUCCCUCCUGGGCCUCUUAACACCGCACAGUGUGGGUGGUGCUUGGGCCCUGGAAGUUGCCUUCAGAGGAUUCAAUUAGGAAGAAACUCAGUUUAGGAGAGGAUAUUAGCCCUCUAGAAAUUACCUAGGAGACUGUCUGUCUGUGAAUAUCCCAAAUCCAAUUAAGUAGACCUGGGUGAAGCCUCAGAGGAGCUGAUAAGAUUGCGAUUGCAACUGGGUGUAGGAGUAACUGCAUCCUCCGUCUGGAGGAAAAUGCCAACUGAGGAGGACGUUCUGCAGGGCUUGGAAACGGGAUCCAGAGAGACCAAAUUGGGUGCUCCGUCUCCAGACUAGCCAGGAGAGUCAGUCCCUGUCCCCAAAACAUCCAUGGUCAGGCCACGGGAGAGGUGUGUCCUGAGGUGGGGUGGAUGUCUCAGACUGUCACCGAUGGACACAGCCAUUAGGACCAUCCAAAGCCCUGCCCUGGCCUUGUUCCCAUUCCAUACUCGGUAAUUCUCCUGAGCCCCCCAGGAGAGAUGUGUCUGUCUGGGCCCCUGGGGACUGUGGCUCUGCCCCUAAAUUAAUAAGCUGGCUUUCUGGCUCCUGUUAGUUGGCUCCUGUGGUAUGCACACGUUGGCUGAGGCCCAGGUGCUGGACGGUGAUGAAAUCACCCCAAUAAAGCCACCUCAUCUGGGUGACCAGCCACCCACCCUCCACCCCCCAGCUGGCCAUUGUUGUUUGCAUUGGUUACUUAGAGGCAGGGCCCAACACAUACUUUCUGCGUGGUGGACUGAUUGAUGCAUGAGGUGGAAGGGAGACAGCCCAGCCCAGGUAUUUUGUCUCUAAAAGGUACAGGGAGAAGGCACAAGGCCCCCAGGGGCCCAGGGAGGGGAUGAAUAAGUGAAUGUUGGCUGAAUGUCUCCUAUGUGCAAGGUCCUGGCUGAGUGUGUUUACAUUUUUAAUCUCAUUGAUUUAUCCCAGGAGCUCUGUGGUGUA